rnacentral:siRNA from 1 species
GCUCCUAGGAUUGGCGUUAAGAGA